GCGGGAAAUAUAUUUCCGCUAAAUAAAGCGGUGAAAUUUUUCCGCUAGAUUUAGCGGGGAAAUGGUUCCGCUAGAUUUAGCAGGGAAAAAGUUUCCGCUAGAUUUAGCGGAGAAAAUUUCCGCUAGAUUUAGCGGGGAAAUUUUUUCGCUAGAUUUAGCGGGGACACUUUCCGCUAAAUUUAGCGGGGAAAUUUU
rnacentral:SRP_RNA from 1 species